AUUGAACGCUGGCGGCAGGCCUAACACAUGCAAGUCGAGCGAGCGGCGGACGGGUGAGUAAUGUCUGGGAAACUGACUGAUGGAGGGGGCUAACUACUGGAAACGGUAGCUAAUACCGCAUACCAUCAGAUGUGCCCAGAUGGGAUUAGCUAGUAGGUGGGGUAACGACUCACCUAGGCGACGAUCCCUAGCUGGUCUGAGAGGAUGACCAUCCACACUGGAACUGAGACACGGUCCAGACUCCUACGGUAGGCAGCCGGGGGGAAUAUUGCACAAUGGGCGCAAGCCUGAUGCAGCCAGGCCGCGUGUAUGAAGAAGGCCUUCGGGUUGGAAAGUACUUUCAGCUGGGAGGCGUUACCCGAAGAAGAAGCACCGGCUAACUCCGUGCCAGCCUCCGCGGUAAUAC
rnacentral:rRNA from 1 species